GGGGCAUUCUGGGUUUAGUGUAUGGAGUCUCUCAAGCAGAAAGAAUGGUGGGGGUCUCAUGUUUCCUGGGGAACAGGAUCUGCUUGGGGCGAUGAAGAAACAUAUCUGAUGGGGGUGUUUUCUGGUAACUAUGAUCAUUAGGUUGGGGCCCCGUGGUUCACAUGAGAUCAUUUUAAUACUCGCGCCAUUUUUGUAGUAGAUGAGGAUUUCCUGGGCGUGAUCUAUGGGGGUCUCUCAAGCAAAAAGAAAGAAUGGUGGGGUGCUGUCUCGGGUGUGUGAAAUAUAUAAUAUCAAUAGGGUGUCUCGUUUUCCCACGGGAGAAGACAAUGUGCUUGUAGUUUUAAAAAACAUAUCUCAUGGGGGUGUUUUUUAGGUAACUAUAAUCAAUAGCGGGGGCCUCAUGGCUCCCGUGUCAAUAGCGGGGGCCCAUGGUUCACAUGAGAUCAUUUUAAUACCAUUUUUAUAGUAGAUGGGGGUUUCUUUGGACUGAUCCGUGGCGGGGUCUUUUUUAGCUAGCUCUAAUCAAUACUAGGGGCCUCAUGGUUUGUAUAAAAAAGACAAUGUGAUUGAGGCUUUAAAAAACAUAUCUGGCACUUAAACAUUCCUCCCCUAUUGUAUAAAAUGGUAUAAAAGGCAGGUGUCGACGGUAGGUUUCCAGAUCACUCGCAAAAAUCAGCGAACAACGUCAAGACAGAGAGUUUGAACACAGAGCCUGGAGACGACUACAAGACAUCGGACAUUGACAUGGGCUGUUGCAUGUACGUAAGUUUCAUAUUGUAUAUAAUUUAUCUAGGGUGUUUAGCCUGAAAGGUAAAUUUUUUUUUCUACUUACAGGAGAGCUGCAUCUUCACCAAUUGAAGUGAUCGAUCUGACUUCACCGCCACCAGUGGCCCUAGUGUCACCGGUCCAAAACCCAAUGCAGGGAUUUAAUGUGGACUUUAUAACGCCUCAAAACCAGGCACAAGGAUUUGCAGAGGGCGAUCGCUCUACGAUAGACGGGGGAGUUUGGGGACAGACUUCGGGAUUCGUGGAAAACACUUUAACACCGCCGGUCCAAAACCCACUGCAUUUUAUUGUGGGGUUUACAAGUCCAAACUCAAGUCACGGUAAGUUAAACAAAUGUGUG